AUCAGCUUUUCGGGUGCGAUUCUGUGGAGUUUGAGGAGCUUAACACCUUCAUGCUUUGCAUAUUCGUGCUCUUGGGUGUACUUGCUCGUAUGGUUGGUUAACAUCAAUUUUGGUGGUCAAAAAAUGACUGGAGGAAUGUAGCUUCGAUCUCGUAUUGAAGUGUUAUAGCCUUCGGUAGAUGUGAUGACUGAGAUUGAGGAUUGCAACGGAUACCCUUCGGGGCUACCUGUCUGAUCUCUGAUCGUUGCUCUGGUGCCGAAAGCUUGCUUACGGUUAUCAAAGUCGAUGGUCAAUAGGUUAGAACGGGUUAAAUUCGUUAAGGAUGUUGACGUAAUGGCUUU
rnacentral:rRNA from 1 species